rnacentral:rRNA from 1 species
CCUACGGGGGGCAGCAGUGGGGAAUCUUGCGCAAUGGGCGAAAGCCUGACGCAGCGACGCCGCGUGAGGGAAGAAGGCCUUCGGGUUGUAAACCUCUUUCAGGAGGGACGAAGCCACUCGGGUUAAUAGCCCAGAGGGUGACGGUACCUCCAGAAGAAGCCCCGGCUAACUACGUGCCAGCAGCCGCGGUAAUACGAAGGGGGCUAGCGUUGUUCGGAAUUACUGGGCGUAAAGGGCGCGUAGGCGGCCUGUUAAGUUGGAAGUGAAAGCCCCGGGCUCAACCUGGGAAUUGCUUUCGAUACUGGCAGGCUUGAGUUCCGGAGAGGAUGGUGGAAUUCCCAGUGUAGAGGUGAAAUUCGUAGAUAUUGGGAAGAACACCGGUGGCGAAGGCGGCCAUCUGGACGGACACUGACGCUGAGGCGCGAAAGCGUGGGGAGCAA